rnacentral:rRNA from 1 species
GAGACACACGGCGGGUGCUAACGUCCGUCGUGAAGAGGGAAACAACCCAGACCGCCAGCUAAGGUCCCAAAGUCAUGGUUAAGUGGGAAACGAUGUGGGAAGGCCCAGACAGCCAGGAUGUUGGCUUAGAAGCAGCCAUCAUUUAAAGAAAGCGUAAUAGCUCACUGGUCGAGUCGGCCUGCGCGGAAGAUGUAACGGGGCUAAACCAUGCACCGAAGCUGCGGCAGCGAACGUAUCACCCAAGACAACUUUACGGAGUUGACGAUUGACGGAGCGAAGCGACGUCAAAGCGUUCAUUAAAGUCGAGUUGGCUUAGGGAUACGUUCGUUGGGUAGGGGAGCGUUCUGUAAGCCUGUGAAGGUGUGUCGUGAGGCAUGCUGGAGGUAUCAGAAGUGCGAAUGCUGACAUAAGUAACGAUAAAGCGGGUGAAAAGCCCGCUCGCCGGAAGACCAAGGGUUCCUGUCCAACGUUAAUCGGGGCAGGGUGAGUCGACCCCUAAGGCGAGGCCGAAAGGCGUAGUCGAUGGGAAACGGGUUAAUAUUCCCGUACUUGGUGUUACUGCGAAGGGGGGACGGAGAAGGCUAUGUUGGCCGGGCGACGGUUGUCCCGGUUUAAGCGUGUAGGUGUGUGUUCCAGGUAAAUCCGGUUCACUUUAACACUGAGGCGUGAUGACGAGGCACUACGGUGCUGAAGCAACAAAUGCCCUGCUUCCAGGAAAAGCCUCUAAGCAUCAGGUAACAUCAAAUCGUACCCCAAACCGACACAGGUGGUCAGGUAGAGAAUACCAAGGCGCUUGAGAGAACUCGGGUGAAGGAACUAGGCAAAAUGGUGCCGUAACUUCGGGAGAAGGCACGCUGACACGUAGGUGAAGUGAUUUACUCACGGAGCUGAAGUCAGUCGAAGAUACCAGCUGGCUGCAACUGUUUAUUAAAAACACAGCACUGUGCAAACACGAAAGUGGACGUAUACGGUGUGACGCCUGCCCGGUGCCGGAAGGUUAAUUGAUGGGGUCAGCGCAAGCGAAGCUCCUGAUCGAAGCCCCGGUAAACGGCGGCCGUAACUAUAACGGUCCUAAGGUAGCGAAAUUCCUUGUCGGGUAAGUUCCGACCUGCACGAAUGGCGUAAUGAUGGCCAGGCUGUCUCCACCCGAGACUCAGUGAAAUUGAACUCGCUGUGAAGAUGCAGUGUACCCGCGGCAAGACGGAAAGACCCCGUGAACCUUUACUAUAGCUUGACACUGAACAUUGAGCCUUGAUGUGUAGGAU